GACUGCGGCUGAGAGAAAGGACUUCCUUUUUUGCCAUUUGUUCACCCUCCAAUGGCCGCCGCAGCCGGCGCGCUUCGGCCGGCACACUGUGCUGAUCUGAAACCAGGAGCCAGGUGCUUCUCCUGGUCUCCCAUGGGGUGCAGGGCCCAAGCACUUGGGCCAUCCUCCACUGCACUCCCUGGCCACAGCAGAGAGCUGGACUGGAAGAGGAGCAACCAGGACAGAAUCCGGCGCCCCAACCACAAGGCGGAGGAUUAGCCUAGUGAGCCGCGGAGCUGAGUCUAAAACAGGGGGCAGGGCUGUCUCCCACAAGCUUCCUGCUAAUAUGGAUGCUAAAAGGUAGCAGGGAUGGCUCAAGUGAUUGGGUUCCUGCCACCCACGUGGAAGAUCCAGAUUGAAUCCCCAGAUCCUGACUUCAACCCCCUAGCUGUUGUGAGCACCCAGGAGGACUCUGCCCAUCCUUGGUCACUGGACACGUCCCACAUCACCCAGGAUGUCCUGGCUACUCACUGUCUGCUGAGUGUCCAACAACUUUCUGGGAUCCAGUGACUGCUGAAAACAUAGAUGGCCAAAGCUCAAGGCCUGCACUGCCAGCUUCCUGGGCGCACCACGGCUCUCCGCCCACGCGACCUUGACUCUGUGGUGUUGGGUGCCGCUGCCCCAAGGCAAGAGUGGCAGGUUACAGGAAUUGAGAGACAGCGGGACUAGCUGCGCGCGAGCCAGGGCGACUAGCUGCGCUCCAGCCGCGCCCUCCCGUGCGCCAAGCGAGCUACCCUCCGCAGCACGAUGCUCAUUUUUGAAAAUACAGCUACAGGCUCCGCUGUCGCUGGCUUGUAAAUCAGAACAGUACGUCCUGAACAUCCUCCAAGAACGGAUUUACUUCUUUUCAACUCUGCCUGGCGUUGGUGGCGUGACUGUAUCACACUGUAGGUAAUCCGUCCUCAUCUGUUCAUGAAGUGAAAGACUGUCGCCAGGGGCUGGCGCUGUGGCGUAGCGGGUAAAGCCGCCCACUGCAGUGCCGGCAUCCCAUAUGGGUGCUGGUUUGAGUCCCGGCAGCUCCACUUCCCAUCCAGCUCUCUGCUGUGGCCUGGGAAAGCAGUAGAAGAUGGCCCAAGUGCUUGGGCCCCUGCAGCCACGUGGGAGACCUGGAAGAAGCUCCUGGCUCCUGCCUUCCAUUGGCUCAGCUCUGGCUAUGGCAGUCAUCUGGGGAAGUUAACCAGGGGAUGGAAGACCUCUCUCUCUGUCUCUGCAUCUCUGUAACUCUGCCUUUUUAAAUAAAUAAACAAAUCUUAAAAAAAAAAAA